rnacentral:rRNA from 3 species
UUAAGCGACUAAGCGUACACGGUGGAUGCCCUGGCAGUCAGAGGCGAUGAAGGACGUGCUAAUCUGCGAUAAGCGUCGGUGAGGUGAUAUGAACCGUUAUAACCGGCGAUUUCCGAAUGGGGAAACCCAGUGUGUUUCGACACACUAUCAUUAACUGAAUCCAUAGGUUAAUGAGGCGAACCGGGGGAACUGAAACAUCUAAGUACCCCGAGGAAAAGAAAUCAACCGAGAUUCCCCCAGUAGCGGCGAGCGAACGGGGAGGAGCCCAGAGCCUGAAUCAGUGUGUGUGUUAGUGGAAGCGUCUGGAAAGGCGCGCGAUACAGGGUGACAGCCCCGUACACAAAAAUGCACAUACUGUGAGCUCGAUGAGUAGGGCGGGACACGUGGUAUCCUGUCUGAAUAUGGGGGGACCAUCCUCCAAGGCUAAAUACUCCUGACUGACCGAUAGUGAACCAGUACCGUGAGGGAAAGGCGAAAAGAACCCCGGCGAGGGGAGUGAAAAAGAACCUGAAACCGUGUACGUACAAGCAGUGGGAGCCUCUUAAUGGGGUGACUGCGUACCUUUUGUAUAAUGGGUCAGCGACUUAUAUUCUGUAGCAAGGUUAACCGAAUAGGGGAGCCGAAGGGAAACCGAGUCUUAACUGGGCGUUAAGUUGCAGGGUAUAGACCCGAAACCCGGUGAUCUAGCCAUGGGCAGGUUGAAGGUUGGGUAACACUAACUGGAGGACCGAACCGACUAAUGUUGAAAAAUUAGCGGAUGACUUGUGGCUGGGGGGGAAAGGCCAAUCAAACCGGGAGAUAGCUGGUUCUCCCCGAAAGCUAUUUAGGUAGCGCCUCGUGAAUUCAUCUCCGGGGGUAGAGCACUGUUUCGGCAAGGGGGUCAUCCCGACUUACCAACCCGAUGCAAACUGCGAAUACCGGAGAAUGUUAUCACGGGAGACACACGGCGGGUGCUAACGUCCGUCGUGAAGAGGGAAACAACCCAGACCGCCAGCUAAGGUCCCAAAGUCAUGGUUAAGUGGGAAACGAUGUGGGAAGGCCCAGACAGCCAGGAUGUUGGCUUAGAAGCAGCCAUCAUUUAAAGAAAGCGUAAUAGCUCACUGGUCGAGUCGGCCUGCGCGGAAGAUGUAACGGGGCUAAACCAUGCACCGAAGCUGCGGCAGCGACACUAUGUGUUGUUGGGUAGGGGAGCGUUCUGUAAGCCUGUGAAGGUGGCCUGUGAGGGUUGCUGGAGGUAUCAGAAGUGCGAAUGCUGACAUAAGUAACGAUAAAGCGGGUGAAAAGCCCGCUCGCCGGAAGACCAAGGGUUCCUGUCCAACGUUAAUCGGGGCAGGGUGAGUCGACCCCUAAGGCGAGGCCGAAAGGCGUAGUCGAUGGGAAACAGGUUAAUAUUCCUGUACUUGGUGUUACUGCGAAGGGGGGACGGAGAAGGCUAUGUUGGCCGGGCGACGGUUGUCCCGGUUUAAGCGUGUAGGCUGGUUUUCCAGGCAAAUCCGGAAAAUCAAGGCUGAGGCGUGAUGACGAGGCACUACGGUGCUGAAGCGACAAAUGCCCUGCUUCCAGGAAAAGCCUCUAAGCAUCAGGUAACAUCAAAUCGUACCCCAAACCGACACAGGUGGUCAGGUAGAGAAUACCAAGGCGCUUGAGAGAACUCGGGUGAAGGAACUAGGCAAAAUGGUGCCGUAACUUCGGGAGAAGGCACGCUGAUAUGUAGGUGAAGCGACUUGCUCGUGGAGCUGAAAUCAGUCGAAGAUACCAGCUGGCUGCAACUGUUUAUUAAAAACACAGCACUGUGCAAACACGAAAGUGGACGUAUACGGUGUGACGCCUGCCCGGUGCCGGAAGGUUAAUUGAUGGGGUUAGCGGUAACGCGAAGCUCUUGAUCGAAGCCCCGGUAAACGGCGGCCGUAACUAUAACGGUCCUAAGGUAGCGAAAUUCCUUGUCGGGUAAGUUCCGACCUGCACGAAUGGCGUAAUGAUGGCCAGGCUGUCUCCACCCGAGACUCAGUGAAAUUGAACUCGCUGUGAAGAUGCAGUGUACCCGCGGCAAGACGGAAAGACCCCGUGAACCUUUACUAUAGCUUGACACUGAACAUUGAGCCUUGAUGUGUAGGAUAGGUGGGAGGCUUUGAAGUGUGGACGCCAGUCUGCAUGGAGCCGACCUUGAAAUACCACCCUUUAAUGUUUGAUGUUCUAACGUGGGCCCCUUACCGGGGUUGCGGACAGUGUCUGGUGGGUAGUUUGACUGGGGCGGUCUCCUCCUAAAGAGUAACGGAGGAGCACGAAGGUUGGCUAAUCCUGGUCGGACAUCAGGAGGUUAGUGCAAUGGCAUAAGCCAGCUUGACUGCGAGCGUGACGGCGCGAGCAGGUGCGAAAGCAGGUCAUAGUGAUCCGGUGGUUCUGAAUGGAAGGGCCAUCGCUCAACGGAUAAAAGGUACUCCGGGGAUAACAGGCUGAUACCGCCCAAGAGUUCAUAUCGACGGCGGUGUUUGGCACCUCGAUGUCGGCUCAUCACAUCCUGGGGCUGAAGUAGGUCCCAAGGGUAUGGCUGUUCGCCAUUUAAAGUGGUACGCGAGCUGGGUUUAGAACGUCGUGAGACAGUUCGGUCCCUAUCUGCCGUGGGCGCUGGAGAACUGAGGGGGGCUGCUCCUAGUACGAGAGGACCGGAGUGGACGCAUCACUGGUGUUCGGGUUGUCAUGCCAAUGGCACUGCCCGGUAGCUAAAUGCGGAAGAGAUAAGUGCUGAAAGCAUCUAAGCACGAAACUUGCCCCGAGAUGAGUUCUCCCUGACUCCUUGAGAGUCCUGAAGGAACGUUGAAGACGACGACGUUGAUAGGCCGGGUGUGUAAGCGCAGCGAUGCGUUGAGCUAACCGGUACUAAUGAACCGUGAGGCUUAACCUU